AAAUAGGAAAAAUGGUACUGUGUUUGUUGGGGAAGAUAGAAAGAUGAAGAAAUACAGCAGAAAAUGGAUGGAUAGAAAUGGAUUUUACUGAAGAUAAAAACAAUGUACAUAAAGCAGAUCAGAAAAUGCUAUUUGGUUGGAUGACUUCAGUACUAAAUAAGCUAUAAAUAACCUGGUAAAAGAAAAGGAAUGAGGGAGGAGAAGAAAAUAAUGAAUAGCGGGGAAGGAUUUUCUGGUGUGUGGAUUUUUUUUUGCUCUUAUCCUUAACAGUGAUGGAGAGAUUUCGGUGAUGUUACGCAAACGGUUUAUUCCUCAUACCUGCAUGUAUAAUCAGCCAAAGAACCCAGUCUGGCAUACAGCACUUCAGAUUUUAUGCAAAGGUUUUAAAACACAGAAAAGAAAUGAUGUUGUUUCAAAAUCUGGAAAUGAAACACAGAUCAUAUCCCCAAGGUUAAUUGGUGUUUAAAGAGUUGAACUGUUUAUUUGGAGAAAAUCAAGUGAAUGGACUGGAAAUAAUUUGGACUAGCUGACUUCCACUUGACCAUUUUCUGCUUCUUUCUGGAACAGCUAUUCUUGAAUGUUUGGAGGUGUUAAUGAAAUUUAAAAUGGGAUGUUCUGGAUUUGAUUCACCAAAAAAUAAUGGUGUGUUGCUUCUGUGAAUUUGAUUCAGAGUUGCAGCAAAUAUAUUUUCACCUACCUGAUUCAAAAUUGUAUAUUGGAUUUUAGCCUGCUUGUGGUUUUGUUCUGUGCAAUUAGAGAAAGGUUAAAACUCAGAGGACAAUAAAAUUUUUCCCAUAAAUAUAAGACUAUAGCUCACAUUUCUGCACAGUUUGAGGCUAUUGUGUGGUACAUAAGAGAAGACCUUCAUUGCAGUAAUAAUAAUAACAACUAGUGGAAAAAUUUGGAGAAAAAUAGCAGUAAAGAAAAACAAAAGUCGAAAUUUUUUGACAAAUUAGAAUACAAGUCUAUUAGGAGAUUUUAUAAAAUGCUGUUACUAUGCUUUACUGACUUCAGUUCUUAAGAACUGUCACAUAGACACAUUGACUUGGAAAAUCUCCCCCUUGACAAUUUAGGCAACAUAAUCAUUUUUCCCCUAAAUGGAAGCAAUAAGAACUGUUAAUGUUUUGGCAAUGCAUAAUUUGGAUUUUUAUAGUGGAAAUAUGCUGAGAAAUUACAGCUUUCUGCCUUUUUGAGGUAUGUAUAUGACAUUUGAAUGUUGUAUAGUAUUUUUGCUGGAACACAGAGAUGUUCAGUUUUCUCUAAUACUGUUUGUUACAAGCAUUAACACUGUGAUUCCAGCUCAGGCUGAUUAACAGACAGCCUUUUGCCUUUCUGUGGCUAAUAUCACUAGACAAAAAUAAAAUUAA